rnacentral:lncRNA from 1 species
UGUGGGAAGAUUUUCUGUUUUCCAGGUUUCCCAAGGGAAACGAAGAAAGGGAGGAGGAUAAUCAAUGACUGAACCUCUAAUAGAUGUUGGACGACGUUAAAAAAAAAAUGUAUCGGCCCUACCCUCGAGGAUUUGACAAAUUAGACUGACCAGAGUAAUAAGAGAUACAGGCAGAAGAGGAGACAUAGACACACACAGAGGAGAAGAUGAUGUGAAAAGGGAGGCAGAGAUCACAGUGGUGUGGCUACAAGCCAAGAAAUACCGAAGCCAUCAGAAGUUGGAAGAGCCACCAAGAGUGCUGAACAAUCAUCUGAGGACAUCAUUGGGUAUCACUGGCAAAGAGAAGAGAUGAAGAAAAGAUAAGAGAAAGAAAUGAAAGUGGAAGAGGGCAGAAAAAGAUAAACAAAAGUUAGGAGAGUUUUCAGGAGGAGAAAAUAAAGAGAAGACAGAGAAGGAAGUAUCUGGUAAGGAAACAAAUACAGAUGUAAUCCAGUUGGGAUACCAGGCUUUCAUUAGGAUAUUUUCUCUCUUUUUCUCCUUAGAUCCACAUUUGUCAGGACGCCAAUUCACCUAAUCAUAUCUGCCAUAUAUUUUCCAUCUAAGUCACCUUGACAAGCUAUCAUUAACCUUGUAGCCCAUGUGUGUCUCAGAAUCCACUCUUCUCCCCACCUACUGGCAUGUGUAUUUAUUUUUAUCUGUGUCAUGAUGUGAUGCUUGGAAUGGCUGCAGUCAUCUUGCAACUCUGAGAAGAAUCAUCCCAAUAAACUGGAGGUUCCAGAGCGGAAAGAUGGGGAAAAAAAUAGGGUCCUUGAUAACCUCAGUGAACUAAUGAAUCAAGCCUGGGACUGCCUAACUUAAGACUUCUUGUUAUGUGAGAUUUAUUAAUAAAUCUUUGCUGUUUAAAAUAUGUUUAGUUGGGUGUUCUCUUACUUGCAGCCAAAAGUAUUCUGACAAACCAUGUUAAUUAAAGGGACAAUAAUAUGGAACAACCAAAAUGCCUUUGAAAAAAAUUCUAGGGAUAUAACGUAAAUAUUCUGUAUUGUACACAUUGGGAACAGUAGCUAGCAACCUGUUAAUCUGAUGCAUGAAACAGGACACAAUUAAAUCCAAGAAGGUUAACAAUGGAUUCUAAAUUUUGAAUUGAUUGUAUAAGGGGGAAUUCAG